AACGAAGCCAUUGGUACAAGAGUGCAAUAAACAGCACAGUCUAUUGAUCUACUAACAAGAUCCACCAUGUAUGGCAUCCUUCAUUGGUCGAGUGUCACAAGGACCUGUUGUAUUUUCAGUUAGUUUAGGGACCGUUCAUUAUUUAUACCUGGGGUUGGUACCGAAGAGAAGCGAGAAACACUGGAAAUUUUUUAUUUACCCAACCUCAACAUUGGUCAAAAUAAUGUUUACCCAACCCAUGUGUUACUGUACUUCAUAAUAAUUAAACACACAAGAUGAUGGUGACAGAAAUCAAGUUGCCUAAAUUCUAAAAGCUCAC